AACGGCGAGUGAAGCGGCAACAGCUCAAAUUUGAAAUCUGGCCCUCGGGUCCGAGUUGUAAUUUGUAGAGGAUGCUUUUGGCGCGGUGCCUUCCGAGUUCCCUGGAACGGGACGCCACAGAGGGUGAGAGCCCCGUCUGGUCGGACACCAAGCCUCUGUAAAGCUCCUUCGACGAGUCGAGUAGUUUGGGAAUGCUGCUCUAAAUGGGAGGUAUAUGUCUUCUAAAGCUAAAUACCGGCCAGAGACCGAUAGCGCACAAGUAGAGUGAUCGAAAGAUGAAAAGCACUUUGAAAAGAGAGUUAAAAAGUACGUGAAAUUGUUGAAAGGGAAGCGCUCAUGACCAGACUUGGGCCUGUUUGAUCAACCUGGGUUCUCCCGGGUGCACUCUCUCAGGCCUAGGCCAGCAUCAGUUCGCCGCGGGGGACAAAGGCCUCGGGAAUGUGGCUCCCCUCGGGGAGUGUUAUAGCCCGUUGCGUAAUACCCUGCGGCGGACUGAGGACCGCGCGAAAGCAAGGAUGCUGGCGUAAUGGUCAUCAGCGACCCGUCUUGAAACACGGACCAAGGAGUCGUCUUCGUAUGCGAGUGUUCGGGUGUUAAACCCCUACGCGUAAUGAAAGUGAACGCAGGUGAGAGCUUCGGCGCAUCAUCGACCGAUCCUGAUGUUCUCGGAUGGAUUUGAGUAAGAGCAUACGGGGCCGGACCCGAAAGAAGGUGAACUAUGCCUGUGUAGGGUGAAGCCAGAGGAAACUCUGGUGGAGGCUCGCAGCGGUUCUGACGUGCAAAUCGAUCGUCAAACAUGGGCAUGG
rnacentral:rRNA from 1 species